rnacentral:tRNA from 2 species
GCCUUUGUGAUGAAAUGGUAGACAUGUCGACUUCAAAAGUCGAUGCCAAUAGGCAUGUCGGUUCGAGUCCGACCAGGGGCA